rnacentral:lncRNA from 1 species
ACUGGAGGGGAAUAGGAAGAAGGAACUUGGAAAAUGAUAUCACAGGAUCCAGAAAGGCAAAAGAAAGAGUCGUGGCUACUCAUGAGAGUAGAGGGAUAGCCUGUCUUAGGAGGUCCAAGGGUCCUAUGUAGUAGGCAUCAGGCAAGGUGAGUUUGGGGGUUAACUGUCCUAGCAGCAGACUGCAGUUGUGUGUCCAGAGGUGCUGGAGAGAGGUGGCAGGCACGGCUUCCUCUCCUGGCCUCCUAGGCCCUACAAGGGUUCCAGAUGCAGGUUGGGCGGCUGGGAUCUCCCGAGGACACUGUGUGCCCAGACGAUGCCGUUUCACUCUCUGUAGCUGCCGCGGGAUUCCAUGGCCCCGUUUCCAGAAAUAUUCUAUUCCAAGGACAGUG